GACUUGGCGCACCUGGCCCGCCACGGUUACGUGUGUGAGUGCCGGGAUGCGCCUGUCACUUUUCUGGUAAACCAUUGCGCUCUUCACUGAGUGUGAUGGGUAGCCAGAUAUUUUACUUUGAAAAAAUUAGAGUGUUUAAAGCAGGCGUUUGCUAUGAAUACAUUAGCAUGGAAUAAUAAGUUAGGACUUCGGUUCUAUUUUGUUGGUUUCUAGGACUGAAGUA
rnacentral:rRNA from 1 species